rnacentral:rRNA from 1 species
GAUGAACGCUGGCGGCGUGCCUAAUACAUGCAAGUCGAGCGAACAGACGAGGAGCUUGCUCCUCUGACGUUAGCGGCGGACGGGUGAGUAACACGUGGAUAACCUACCUAUAAGACUGGGAUAACUUCGGGAAACCGGAGCUAAUACCGGAUAAUAUAUUGAACCGCAUGGUUCAAUAGUGAAAGACGGUUUUGCUGUCACUUAUAGAUGGAUCCGCGCCGCAUUAGCUAGUUGGUAAGGUAACGGCUUAUCAAGGCAACGAUGCGUAGCCGACCUGAGAGGGUGAUCGGCCACACUGGAACUGAGACACGGUCCAGACUCCUACGGGAGGCAGCAGUAGGGAAUCUUCCGCAAAGGGCGAAAGCCUGACGGAGCAACGCCGCGUGAGUGAUGAAGGUCUUCGGAUCGUAAAACUCUGUUAUGAGGGAAGAACAAAUGUGUAAGUAACUAUGCACGUCUUGACGGUACCUAAUCAGAAAGCCACGGCUAACUACGUG